rnacentral:rRNA from 2 species
GCAAGUCGAGCGGACAGAUGGGAGCUUGCUCCCUGAUGUUAGCGGCGGACGGGUGAGUAACACGUGGGUAACCUGCCUGUAAGACUGGGAUAACUCCGGGAAACCGGGGCUAAUACCGGAUGGUUGUUUGAACCGCAUGGUUCAAACAUAAAAGGUGGCUUCGGCUACCACUUACAGAUGGACCCGCGGCGCAUUAGCUAGUUGGUGAGGUAACGGCUCACCAAGGCAACGAUGCGUAGCCGACCUGAGAGGGUGAUCGGCCACACUGGGACUGAGACACGGCCCAGACUCCUACGGGAGGCAGCAGUAGGGAAUCUUCCGCAAUGGACGAAAGUCUGACGGAGCAACGCCGCGUGAGUGAUGAAGGUUUUCGGAUCGUAAAGCUCUGUUGUUAGGGAAGAACAAGUACCGUUCGAAUAGGGCGGUACCUUGACGGUACCUAACCAGAAAGCCACGGCUAACUACGUGCCAGCAGCCGCGGUAAUACGUAGGUGGCAAGCGUUGUCCGGAAUUAUUGGGCGUAAAGGGCUCGCAGGCGGUUUCUUAAGUCUGAUGUGAAAGCCCCCGGCUCAACCGGGGAGGGUCAUUGGAAACUGGGGAACUUGAGUGCAGAAGAGGAGAGUGGAAUUCCACGUGUAGCGGUGAAAUGCGUAGAGAUGUGGAGGAACACCAGUGGCGAAGGCGACUCUCUGGUCUGUAACUGACGCUGAGGAGCGAAAGCGUGGGGAGCGAACAGGAUUAGAUACCCUGGUAGUCCACGCCGUAAACGAUGAGUGCUAAGUGUUA